UGCAGUCGAGCGGAAACGAUGGGAGCUUGCUCCCAGGCGUCGAGCGGCGGACGGGUGAGUAACACUUAGGAAUCUACCUAGUAGUGGGGGAUAGCUCGGGGAAACUCGAAUUAAUACCGCAUACGACCUACGGGAGAAAGGGGGCUACUUGUAGCUCUCGCUAUUAGAUGAGCCUAAGUCGGAUUAGCUAGAUGGUGGGGUAACGGCCUACCAUGGCGACGAUCUGUAGCUGGUCUGAGAGGAUGAUCAGCCACACCGGGACUGAGACACGGCCCGGACUCCUACGGGAGGCAGCAGUGGGGAAUAUUGGACAAUGGGGGCAACCCUGAUCCAGCCAUGCCGCGUGUGUGAAGAAGGCCUUUUGGUUGUAAAGCACUUUAAGCAGUGAAGAAGACCAUAUGGUUAAUACCCAUAUGCGAUGACAUUAGCUGCAGAAUAAGCACCGGCUAACUCUGUGCCAGCAGCCGCGGUAAUACAGAGGGUGCAAGCGUUAAUCGGAAUUACUGGGCGUAAAGCGAGCGUAGGUGGCUUGAUAAGUCAGAUGUGAAAUCCCCGGGCUUAACCUGGGAACUGCAUCUGAUACUGUUAAGCUAGAGUAGGUGAGAGGGAAGUAGAAUUCCAGGUGUAGCGGUGAAAUGCGUAGAGAUCUGGAGGAAUACCGAUGGCGAAGGCAGCUUCCUGGCAUCAUACUGACACUGAGGCUCGAAAGCGUGGGUAGCAAACAGGAUUAGAUACCCUGGUAGUCCACGCCGUAAACGAUGUCUACUAGUCGUUGGGUCCCUUGAGGACUUAGUGACGCAGCUAACGCAAUAAGUAGACCGCCUGGGGAGUACGGCCGCAAGGUUAAAACUCAAAUGAAUUGACGGGGGCCCGCACAAGCGGUGGAGCAUGUGGUUUAAUUCGAUGCAACGCGAAGAACCUUACCUGGUCUUGACAUAUCUAGAAUCCUGCAGAGAUGCGGGAGUGCCUUCGGGAAUUAGAAUACAGGUGCUGCAUGGCUGUCGUCAGCUCGUGUCGUGAGAUGUGGGUUAAGUCCCGCAACGAGCGCAACCCUUGUCCUUAGUUACCAGCGGGUUAAGCCGGCACUCUAAGGAUACUGCCCAGUGACAAACUGGAGGGAGUCGGGACGACGUCAAGGUCAUCAUGGCCCCUUACGACAGGGCUAACACACGUGCUACAAAUGGGUAGUACAGGAGGGCCAGCUUACACCAGCAAUGGUGAUGCGGAAUCUCUUCAAA
rnacentral:rRNA from 1 species